rnacentral:rRNA from 1 species
UACGAAGGGGGCUAGCGUUGUUCGGAAUUACUGGGCGUAAAGGGUGCGUAGGCGGCUUCUUAAGUCUGGUGUGAAAUCUCCCGGCUCAACUGGGAGGGUGCGCCGGAUACUGAGGGGCUAGAGUGUGGGAGAGGAAAGUGGAAUUCCUGGUGUAGCGGUGAAAUGCGCAGAUAUCAGGAGGAACACCAAUAGCGAAGGCAGCUCGCUGGGACGUUACUGACACUGAGGCGCGAAAGCGUGGGGAGCGAACAGG